rnacentral:pre_miRNA from 1 species
AAAGUGCUCCCUCCGUCCCAAAAUUCUUGUCUUAGAUUUGUCUAGAUAUAGAUGUAUCAAGUCACCUUUUAGUAUUAGAUACAUCCGUAUCUAGACAAAUCUAAGACAAGAAAUUUGGGACAGAGGGAGUAGUUG